UACAGAGGGUGCGAGCGUUAAUCGGAAUUACUGGGCGUAAAGCGUGCGCAGACGGUCAUGUAAGUCGGGUGUGAAAGCCCCGGGCUCAACCUGGGAAUUGCAUUCGAGACUGCAUGGCUAGGGUGCGGAAAAGGGAAGCGGAAUUUCCGGUGUAGCGGUGAAAUGCGUAGAUAUCGGAAGGAACACCAGUGGCGAAAGCGGCUUCCUGGUCCAGCACCGACGUUCAGGCACGAAAGCGUGGGGAGCAAACAGG
rnacentral:rRNA from 1 species